UACGGAGGGUGCGAGCGUUGUCCGGAUUUAUUGGGUUUAAAGGGUGCGUAGGUGGCUUUUUAAGUCAGUGGUGAAAUACAGCCGCUCAACGGUUGAGGUGCCAUUGAUACUGAAGAGCUUGAAACAAGUGGAGGCUGCCGGAAUGGAUGGUGUAGCGGUGAAAUGCAUAGAUAUCAUCCAGAACACCGAUUGCGAAGGCAGGUGGCUACGAUUUAUUUGACACUGAGGCACGAAAGCAUGGGGAGCAAACAGG
rnacentral:rRNA from 1 species